rnacentral:siRNA from 1 species
GAAAAUGUGCCCAAUUAGAAGCGU